rnacentral:rRNA from 1 species
AUACAUGCAGUCGAGCGGACAGAUGGGAGCUUGCUCCCUGAAGUCAGCGGCGGACGGGUGAGUAACACGUGGGCAACCUGCCUGUAAGACUGGGAUAACUUCGGGAAACCGGAGCUAAUACCGGAUAAUGCUUUUGGACUCAUGUCCUUAAGCUGAAAGAUGGUUUNNGCUAUCACUUACAGAUGGGCCCGCGGCGCAUUAGCUAGUUGGUGAGGUAACGGCUCACCAAGGCAACGAUGCGUAGCCGACCUGAGAGGGUGAUCGGCCACACUGGGACUGAGACACGGCCCAGACUCCUACGGGAGGCAGCAGUAGGGAAUCUUCCGCAAUGGACGAAAGUCUGACGGAGCAACGCCGCGUGAGUGAUGAAGGUUUUCGGAUCGUAAAACUCUGUUGUUAGGGAAGAACAAGUANCGGAGUAACUGCCGGUACCUUGACGGUACCUAACCAGAAAGCCACGGCUAACUACGUGCCAGCAGCCGCGGUAAUACGUAGGUGGCAAGCGUUGUCCGGAAUUAUUGGGCGUAAAGCGCGCGCAGGCGGUCCUUUAAGUCUGAUGUGAAAGCCCACGGCUCA